UUUAAGAAAAGCAUGUGGAUGCCCCCCGCUAAUACCUUUAUAGACAAAUUAUAAAAUAUAGCUAAGCAAAAGCAAACCCCAAAAAUGUGUAUUCAUAGCCAAUGAUAAUCAGUUAAUAGUUUAUACUUGUAGUUAUUUCCUCUAUGCAAAUAAAUACACAAUAAAAAUGUCACCACAGCAAAGAACAUUUAUUGAGCUUCUUUUCUUUCACCAAGUACUGAGAUCUUCAUUAUCUUAUUUAGUUCUUCCAGUACUGUUAUUCUCACUUAACAAACAGGAGCCUGAGACUAAAAGAGGCAGUAAAGCUUGAACAGUUUUUCUCAGCCUUCUACUGGCAGAGUAGGUACAGCUCAGGCAUCCGGAGGCUGUACUGUCUUUGGGUCUUGCUGUGUUGCACAGGCUGGAUGCAGUAGCACAGUCUUGGCUUACUGCACCUUCUACCUCCUGGGCUCAAGUGAUUUUCAGGCCUCAGCCACCUGAGUAGCUGGGACUACAGGCACACGCCACCAUACCUGGCUAAUUAUUUUAUUUUAUUUUGGUAGAGACAGGGUUUUCCCGUGUUGUCCAGCUGGUCUCGAACUCCUGGCCUCAAGCCAUCCACUUGCCUCAGCCUCCCAGAGUGCUGGGAUUACAGGCAUGAGCCACCACACCCAGCUGAGGCUGUAUUCUUUAACCAUGAACUGUAUCUGCCAGAUAGUGUUGUCUGUUUUCUAGUAUCCUUCCCUCUCUCCAUCUCCCAUCACUCUGUCCCAUUAGUACAUUACUUUUGAUAUAUCCUGUGUGCUGUACACCCUUCUUCGUGUUCUUGAAUAUUCUGUUACAAUAAAUAGUUUUCAGAGUCAUACCUCAGCAUCUUGUCUUUUAGGAAAAUGACUGUUGACCUGAUUCCACAUUAAUCUCUCCAUUUUAUGACCCCAAUUGAUUUUAAUUCUCCUUUUUAAAAUUCUGCCUGUGUACUCAGUGCUGGCCUCUUAUCAAGCACUGAAUUAAUGACAAAUAUUUUACCAUUGUCUACUUCUUUGGAUUCUUCUGCUUGAAGUUUAUUUUGUAGGUCCCAUUUAGGGGCCUGGUAGAGAACCUAUAAGCACCAAACACGUAGUACAUAGAGGAAAACUAUUUUUUUGUUUAACCAAUGAACGUGGCUAUGACUAAUGACAUCAAGAUGUUGGGUGUAUGUUUGAAUAAUUCCCUCUCCACCAUGAAAGUACUUGCUGAGCCGUCUUUCUUUGGGCUCCCAGUUUACUUGGGCCACUAUAAAUAGAGGAUGCUGCAGGAUCAAAAUAUACCCCAUCAAUUAAAAUCAUGUUUGUCCUCCAUUGACUGGUAAUUUUUAGUAAGGGAUGGAACAUUUUUAGAAGCUCACCAGUAUGUUAAACAGAUUCUCAACAUCAAAUACUACCAUGAUAGGAUGCAAAAUAAUUUUCUUGUAAUAUUAAUUAGUGGUUGAUGGGCUUAAUUUUUUUUAGGUGCUGAUAUUGAUGCGUUGUGUGUUGCACCAAGACAUGUUGAUCGAAGUGACUUUUUCACCUCAUUCUAUGAUAAGUUGAAAUUACAGGAAGAAGUAAAAGAUUUAAGAGUGCGUAAAUGUUCGGGGUGAAAUGGGAUGAGUUAUGAACAUUCAUUUAGUCAGUUGAGUGAAUUUUAUGAUAUAGCCAUCAUUUAUUGAGUUCUUGCAAUUUGCCAAACCCUUCUAAGCACUUGGCAUAUGUGUUUGUGUUUUAUUCUUUACAGCAAGCCUAAAAUUAUAAACUCAUUUACAGAUUAGGAAAUUGAGGCAAACAAAAUAAAUAUGAAAUAAUCUGGCCACAGUCAUACAUCUGAUGAGUGGGUGAAAUCAAAUAUUUGAACCUUGAUUUCUGAUCUGAUUUGUCUGAUUAAACAACCCAGUCUUAAAGCUAGCUAUUUUUGUGUCAGGUGUUUUGCUAAAGUACUAAAACUAGUAGAGGCUUAAAAUGUAGUUUCAGAGACCCUAAACUUGUUUACUUUCCUUAUAGGCUGUUGAAGAGGCAUUCGUACCAGUUAUUAAACUCUGUUUUGAUGGGAUAGAGAUUGAUAUUUUGUUUGCAAGAUUAGCACUGCAGACAAUUCCAGAAGAUUUGGAUCUACGAGAUGACAGUCUGCUUAAAAAUUUAGAUAUAAGAUGUAUAAGAAGUCUUAACGGUAUGAGAAAGCCUACUUCCUUUUGUAUACUUCAGAUUUGUCAGAUAUUAGUUAUUUUUACACAAGUUUUAUAUUGAAGCUUUUUAUAGCUAUAUUGUUAACACAGUAGUGAGUUAAAUAAAAUGAACUUUGCCUAAU
rnacentral:sRNA from 1 species